CUGACGUCAUUUGUAAGCUUGGGCGUAACAAGACUUUAGCAAUAACUUAAUUGCUGUAUUAUGUGAAAAUCGCACGUCAACGGCCAUUGAAAUUUCAAGAAUGGAUUGGGGUCUAGCUCAGCAUAACGGUGGCGUGAUCCUCUAAAGCAAAAAGGUCACAAAAAUAUAAGAAAGAAAUUCGUGGGAGGGCUGUGAAGAAGAACCACGAGAAAAAAUACAUGAUAACCGAAGUAAAUUUUGAUGCUAGUAAAAACAAUUCUUGCACCAGCUCUCAGCCAGAAAACAAACAAACAAAGAAACACAUGUAUCUUUUAUAACCGAAGGCGAACGGCAAAAAAAUAAAAGGAAACAUAUCUUUUGUCGAUGAACAGUAGAAUAAUGGAUGGAAGGCAAAAAAUUAGCGAACUCAUGUGCUCUUUAAUAAGCGGAAAUUACUUCCGUUCUUCCAUUCAUUCGUUCAUCCGGGUUUUCAUUAAUUCAUUCGUUUGCUCAUGCAUUUAUGGCUAAUCCACUGAUUUAUUGAUUAGCUCAUUUAUUGAUUUCCCAAUUCAUUUAUUUUUUGGUUCAUAUAUUCAUUCGCUGACUCAUCCAUCCCAUCCAUUCAUUCAUUCGCUCGUUCUUUCAUUUAACUAUUUUUUUCACUCUACAAUUGGAAUUUAGGACUCUGCUGUGUCUAGCCUUCUGAUACUAAUUCAUGUACACGUCCUCUUCCAUAUCAAUAGGGUAUUGGUCACUUAGAGUCUUUCGGCUGAUGGUCAUGUUUCUCUAAUCUCUAAGAGCGUAAUAUCUACCCUCUUUACACACUUUGUUAUUCUCAUUCUGUAGCUGUAACUGUGAAAUGAAAACGCACGAAUUUAAGAAAAGUUCACACGACGUAUGCCUCAAACAGUACUUCACGCAUCACGAAUUAAAAAGGAAAACUUCAAAUUUACCUUUCUGUAAAAUUUACGCGUCACGCAUUAAAUUUGGGCUUAGUAAUGUGUCACGCAUAAACCAUAUACCCCCUCUUAGAAUGUUUCUAGUCAGAAAACCUAAUCUCAGAAUAUUUAUUUUCGUGAACGUCUCCUGAAAUGUUAAUCCUACGCGUUUUCACCUUCCCAAUGACAUUUCAGGUGAAUUGGGACAAGUGUGGCUCAAUAGUUGUUGGAGAGAUGCGCAAAUUCAAAAUACCUUUUGUGAAUAUGGAAAAGAUUUCUUAGCAAUGAACACUACUUAAGCAGCAGUGAAAAUAAGGCCUUAAAAAAAUUCAGGUCUGUACGGAAUUUAAACCCAUGACCCCUGCACCGGUAUCGAAGAGUUCUUUGUCCGCAGUUCACAUACAUGAUUUUCAUACAUUUCAUUUACAGUCAUUAAAUAGUUUUUUCGAUAAAACUGAUCCCAAAAUGAAUUGGUAUUGAGUGUAGGUAUGAUAUUUUGAUCGGCCUUGUUUUCGAGAAAACCUUGCUCCACUUUUAUAGGCGUGUAAUAGCCUCUUCUAGGCUAUCAGUUUGGG